rnacentral:rRNA from 1 species
GAUGAACGCUGGCGGCGUGCCUAAUACAUGCAAGUCGAGCGAACAGAUAAGGAGCUUGCUCCUUUGACGUUAGCGGCGGACGGGUGAGUAACACGUGGGUAACCUACCUAUAAGACUGGGAUAACUUCGGGAAACCGGAGCUAAUACCGGAUAACAUUUGGAACCGCAUGGUUCUAAAGUGAAAGAUGGUUUUGCUAUCACUUAUAGAUGGACCCGCGCCGUAUUAGCUAGUUGGUAAGGUAACGGCUUACCAAGGCGACGAUACGUAGCCGACCUGAGAGGGUGAUCGGCCCCACUGGACCUGAGACACGGUCCAGACUCCUACGGGAGGCAGCAGUAGGGAAUCUUCCGCAAUGGGCGAAAGCCUGACGGAGCAACGCCGCGUGAGUGAUGAAGGGUUUCGGCUCGUAAAACUCUGUUAUUAGGGAAGAACAAAUGUGUAAGUAACUGUGCACGUCUUGACGGUACCUAAUCAGAAAGCCACGGCUAACUACGU